GCCUACGGCUAUACCAGUCUGAAAGUGCCUGAUCUCGUCAGAUCUCAGAAGUUAUGCAGACUUGGGCAUGAUUAGUACUUGGAUGGGAGACCAACUAGGAACCUCAGGUGCCGUAAGCU
rnacentral:rRNA from 1 species